rnacentral:rRNA from 1 species
ACAUGCAGUCGAGCGACAGUUUUUGACUCAAGUGGCGGACGGGUGAGUAACACCUAAUAAUUUACCUUUAGGAGGGGGACAACAACGGGAAACUGUUGCUAAUACCCCAUAUGCUUUCGAGUGAAAUGGAUUUAUCCGCCUAUAGAGAGGCUUGCGGCUGAUUAGCUUGUUGGUGAGGUAAUGGCUCACCAAGGCGACGAUCAGUAUCUGGUUUGAGAGGACGAUCAGACACACUGGAACUGAGACACGGUCCAGACUCCUACGGGAGGCAGCAGUGGGGAAUUUUCCGCAAUGGGCGAAAGCCUGACGGAGCAAUACCGCGUGAGGGAUGACGGCCUAUGGGUUGUAAACCUCUUUUUUCAGGGAGGAAUCAAUGACGUGUACCUGAACAAUAAGCAUCGGC